CGCGGGGUGGAGCAGUUGGCAGCUCGUUGGGCUCAUAACCCAAAGGUCGGAGGUUCGAGUCCUCCCCCCGCUAC
rnacentral:tRNA from 1 species